UACGGGGGGUGCAAGCGUUGUCCGGAAUGAUUGGGCGUAAAGGGUGCGCAGGCGGUCCUGCAAAUCUGGAGUGAAACGUAUGAGCUCAACUCAUGCAUGGCUCUGGAAACUGGAGGACUGGAGAGCAGGAGAGGGCGGUGGAACUCCAUGUGUAGCGGUAAAAUGCGUAGAUAUAUGGAAGAACACCAGUGGCGAAGGCAGCAUACCGGCGGCGAUCUGACGCUGAGGCACGAAAGCGUGGGUAUCGAACAGG
rnacentral:rRNA from 1 species